rnacentral:tRNA from 1 species
GGGCGCGUAGCUCAGCGGGAGAGCACUGCCUUCACACGGCAGGGGUCGCAGGUUCGAACCCUGCCGCGCCCA